CCCCCCUUUGGUCCCUUUUCUCACAGUUUUUUUUUCUGAAGAAAAGAAAGUGGAAAAACAGGGAAGAAAGCAGGUCAGGUCAUGUGUACACUGUUGGCUGUUUUACCAAACGCCUGAAAUUUCCUUGCACAAGAACACUGAAAUUUCCUUGCACAAGAACUCCUAACUGCUGAGGUUUCUAAAAAUGUUCAGCUCCUCUGCUGGAAUAUGGCUUCCUCUGGCGCCUUGGUCUGAGAAUAAAAAACUCUGUGCUGGCAACUGCAGGCAUGCUACUGCUCUUCAGGCAGGAAAUAAAGAAGCUGCUUCGUCAUUGCUCCCCCUGUAGACUGCUCCGAUACCCGAGUUUGUCCACAAUCAACAGAACUUUCAGAAUAUAAAACAUUGAGACAGCAUUCACAGGUUAGACUUUCCUUCAAUGAAACAUGCCAAGCAACACGGAAAUGCCCAACAGUUUUACCCCAACACGCACGUUGCACUUGUUUAUGUUCAUCCAGGCUGAGAUCAUUCUGUGCACACAGCAGCACUGCUUUCCCCCCCCCCCCCGGGAUCAGCAGGGCAGUUCCCUUUCUAGCAUGUGUUGCUUUAUGAAGUGAAAUCUAGAAGUAAUUUUUGCACUCUUACCGUAGUUCGCAUUUCUUUCACAAUACGUCCUGGCUUCCAUGCAGAACUUUUUACCAGGGAAGCUCAAGAUGUGUGGAAACAGGAGACCAGAGAAGUGACUUACUCGUGACUGCCGACAGUAUCUGAUGCGUAACCAGGUUUCUCUGAUGAGUCCCAGAGUCUUCUCUAGCUCCUUGAAGACACAGUGGACUGAUAAAGAAAAUAAGGUGGAGGAGGCUAAUGUACCAUAGAAAAGAUACAGGAAUACACAUGAUCUACAAAGACAACAACUGAAAGGGGUGGAGCUUUGCUGUGAAGGAGGCACAUAGAGAAAUCAACAGGAACAUAUAAAAUUAGAUAAUGGAGUUCAACAGGAGCAUAUAUUUGGAAAGCAUUAUUUGUCAAAAUUGCCAGUCUCUCCUACUGCAUGUACUUCAGUUUUACAGUUUUCAGUUGUGAUUCAACUAUUACCAGCAGAUCCUUAGCCACAAUUCUUCCAGCCUGUUCCAGAGAACAGCAUCCUGUGUUCAUAUCUGACAUCCCAACAGAAUUCUGUCAUGCCACUUCAGCUUCCAAAAAGUAGUGGUGGGAACUGUGAGAACAGACUAACGGUAGAAAUUAUGUAACAAGUUCACU